rnacentral:lncRNA from 1 species
ACAUUUAGGAUUUCGGGAUGUUUUCCGCUAUGUUAAAAAGGAGUUUCAAAAAUGUCGAGUCUGGGAUCAGACAUUUCAAAAAAAAAUUCUUGGUUUUGGAGGUAUAUGAGUAUACGUAUACGUACCUACUCCCCCCCCCUUUUAAUGAGGGGGGACAGUUGAGCUCGUUGUAAGACGAAUUGCCUAUGUACCCUCUUAAGAGAUCAAGUCGUCUCGUAGUUCAGUGCAAAGUGCUGCUUAGUGAUAAUUCUUGUCCCUCUCCCCCCUUCAGCCUCGAUCUCCUUAUAUACUUCCUCUA